CCGCCUGCCCCCGCGCCGCGCGCUCGGCGCCCCCCGGAGCCGCCCGCUUCGCGCCCGGCCCCCGGCUGCGCUAGUGCCCCGGAGCGCGGAGCCCGGCGCGGCAUGUAGCUGCGGGCCCGACCCGCGUGCGGGUGUCGGCCGGCGCCCCGCCAUGGCGGGGAGGGACCGCGGGGACCUGAAGACCGUGCGGCUGUGGCGGGACGCCGCCCUGCGCGCCAGGAAGCUGCGGGGCAACCUGCGCCAGCUGACGCUCAGCGCGGCCGGGGGCUGCCCGGGCUCCCCCGACGCCGCGCCCCGGCUGGUGCUGCCCGCCAACCUCGGGGACGUGGAGGUGCUCAACCUGGGUAACAACGGCCUGGAGGAGGUGCCCGAGGGGCUGGGGUCGGCGCUGGGCAGCCUGCGCGUCCUGGUCCUGCGCCGCAACCGCUUCGGCCGGCUGCCCCCGCCCGUGGCCGAGCUGGGCCACCACCUCACCGAGCUGGACGUGAGCCACAAUCGGCUGAAGGCCCUGGGCGCCGAGGUGGUGAGCGCCCUGCGCGAGCUGCGCAAGCUCAACCUCAGCCACAACCAGCUGCCCGGCCUGCCCGCGCAGCUGGGCGCGCUGGCCCACCUGGAGGAGCUGGACGUCAGCUUCAACCGCCUGGCGCACCUGCCCGACUCGCUGGCCGGCCUCUCCCGUCUGCGCACCCUCGACGUGGACCAUAACCAGCUGACGGCUUUCCCCCGGCAGCUGCUGCAGCUCGCCGCCCUGGAGGAGCUGGACGUGUCCAGUAACCGGCUGCGGGGCCUACCUGAGGAUAUCAGUGCCCUGAGUGCCCUCAAGAUCCUCUGGCUCAGUGGGGCUGAGCUUGGCACCCUGCCCAGUGGCUUCUGCGAGCUGGCCAGCUUAGAGAGCCUCAUGCUGGACAACAACGGGCUGCAGGCCCUACCCGCGCAGUUCAGCCGUCUGCAGCGGCUCAAGAUGCUCAACCUGUCCUCCAACCUUUUCGAGGAGUUCCCCGAGGCGCUGCUGCCGCUGGCCGGCCUGGAGGAGCUCUACCUGAGCCGCAACCAACUCACGUCCGUGCCGUCCCUCAUCUCGGGGCUGGGUCGCCUGCUCACCCUGUGGUUGGAUAAUAACCGCAUCCGCUACCUGCCAGACUCCAUCGUGGAGCUGACGGGUCUGGAGGAGCUGGUGCUGCAAGGGAAUCAGAUCGCGGUGCUGCCAGACAACUUCGGCCAGCUCUCGCGCGUGGGCCUGUGGAAGAUCAAGGACAACCCGCUGAUCCAGCCCCCCUACGAGGUCUGUAUGAAGGGGAUCCCCUACAUCGCAGCCUACCAGAAGGAGCUGGCUCAUUCGCAGCCAGCCGUGCAGCCGCGGCUCAAACUGCUUUUGAUGGGCCACAAGUCGGCGGGGAAGACCUUGCUCCGGCACUGCCUCACAGAGGAGCGGGUAGAGGGGAACCACGGAAUUCAGGACAAGGACAAGAGCUACCCGACUUCGCUGCCCGCCACCAGCAAAGGCAUCGAGGUGACCAGCUGGACAGCCGAUGCUUCCCGGGGCCUGCGCUUCAUCGUGUAUGACUUGGCUGGCGAUGAGAGUUACGAGGUGAUCCAGCCCUUCUUCCUCUCACCCGGGGCCCUUUAUGUCCUGGUGGUGAAUUUGGCCACCUAUGAACCCCGGCGCUUUCCCACCACCGUGGGGUCCUUCUUACAUCGGGUGGGGGCCCGGGUGCCGCAUGCCGUGGUGUGCAUUGUGGGCACGCACGCAGACCUCUGCGGGGAGCGGGAGCUGGAGGAGAAGUGCUUGGACAUUCACCGCCAGAUCGCCCUGCAGGAGAAGCACGACGCCGAGGGGCUGAGCCGGCUGGCCCAGGUGGUGGACGAGGCGCUGGCUCGGGACUUCGAGCUGCGCUCGGCCAGCCCCCAUGCCGCCUACUACGGUGUUUCUGACAAGAACCUGCGGCGGCGCAAGGCCCACUUCCAGUACCUGCUCAACCACCGGCUGCAGAUCCUCUCCCCUGUGCUGCCCGUCAGCUGCAGGGACCCCCGCCAGUUGCAGCGCCUCCGCGACAAAUUGCUCUCUGUGGCCGAGCACCGCGAGAUCUUCCCCAACCUACACCGGGUGCUGCCUCGCUCCUGGCAGGUGCUGGAGGAGCUGCACUUCCAGCCGCCGCAGGCGCAGCGUCUGUGGCUGAGCUGGUGGGACUCAGCGCGCCUGGGCCUGCAGGCAGGUCUGACAGAGGACCGCUUGCAGAGCGCGCUGUCCUACCUCCAUGAGAGCGGCAAGCUGCUCUACUUCGAGGACAGCCCCGCCCUCAAGGAGCACGUCUUCCACAACCUCUCCCGCCUCAUCGACAUCCUCAAUGUCUUCUUCCAGAGGGAUGCUUCCUUGCUGCUGCACAAGCUGCUCCUUGGGGCCAGUGGUGAGGGCGAGGGCGAGGGUGAGAGCUUCCCGCUGCUGCCGCUGCCUGCCCCAAGCCAGGACCUGCUCCGGACCACCCAGCUCCAUCACUACGUGGAAGGCUUUCUGCUUCACGGACUCUUGCCAGCCCACGUCAUCCGAAUGCUGCUUAAGCCUCACGUCCAGGCCCAGCAGGACCUGCAGCUGCUGCUGGAGCUGCUGGAGAAGAUGGGACUGUGUUACUGCCUCAAUAAACCCAAGGGCAAGCCUUUGAAUGGCUCCACGGCCUGGUACAAGUUCCCCUGCUAUGUCCAGAAUGAGGUGCCCCACGCAGAGGCCUGGAUUAAUGGGACCAAUCUUGCUGGGCAAUCUUUUGUGGCUGAGCAGUUGCAGAUUGAAUAUAGUUUUCCCUUUACGUUUCCUCCUGGGUUGUUUGCACGCUACAGCGUCCAGAUCAACAGCCACGUGGUGCACAGGUCAGACGGUAAACUUCAGAUCUUUGCCUACCGCGGGAAAGUUCCUGUGGUGGUGAGCUACAGACCUGCCAAGGGGGUUCUGCAGCCAGACACUCUGUCCAUUGCCAGCCAUGCCUCGUUACCAAAUAUAUGGACAGCGUGGCAAGCCAUCACCCCGUUGGUGGAGGAACUGAAUGUGCUGCUUCAGGAGUGGCCUGGACUGCACUAUACUGUGCAUAUUCUCUGUUCUAAGUGCCUUAAGAGAGGGUCGCCCAAUCCACACGCUUUCCCAGGGGAGUUGCUGAGCCAGCCCAGACCAGAAGGAGUGGCCGAGAUCAUCUGCCCCAAGAAUGGCAGCGAGCGAGUGAAUGUGGCCUUGGUUUACCCACCAACACCGACUGUGAUCAGCCCGUGUUCAAAGUCUCUCCAUACUUUCUUGGAAAAUUAAGUGGAAAAGAUAGUGCUUCUUUCCCUAAUGCCAUCAUUUUUACUGUACUCAGUCUGUGACUUUAGGAGCACCAAGUUUUAAGGGAAGAACGUGGGUGAAAAGCACAGGAACCAGUGAUUGGCGUGGCAGGGCCAUCUCCACGGAGAAGAGAGAGCCGCCUGGACCGCUCUGCGUGGCCGCUGCCCCCUCCACACGCCCCAAGCAUGAUCUGCAGCCGGCAGGGACCCAGAGGGAAGAAGCAUUCUAUCAUUCAGUGCUGUUUGUGGAGGGAGCACAGAGUGGGCUGGGGGGAAUGAGGCGGGCAGGCUGGGACUCGGGGCGAGAAGAUGGGGCAAAUGUUUUACAACCUGAACCUCAGAACUGUGAUCCUCCAAGGCGAGCGCUACUUGAAGACAAGAAAAACAAAAGUCGAACGGCUUCUCAGGGAUUUUGUUUUCUGUGCACAUAUAGCCAUAGCUCCAGUCCAGGCGGCAGUAUUGAGAGCACUCAGAUUUCAGUUCUGUUCAAUGUGAAAGAGGGAUUGACUGACCGUCCAUCGCUGUUCCGUCAUGAGUGUAAAAUAUGUAUAUGUUUAUCUUUAUUUUUAUAAUAUGCAAAUACAUUUAAAUUUAUAUCGUUGGAAGCUUCUAGCGUUAGUGAACACUGGGUGCAAUAUUCUGCAUGAGAACUGUGCCAAGGUGGGGCUGAUUUCUUGUUUUAGCAGAAGAUCUGUUGGUUCUUUCUUUCUUCUUUGAUUCCUUUCAGAUUAAAACAAAAACAAAAUAGCUCUUCAUCCAGCGCGCUCUCAGCCAGUGGAUUAAUGUUGGUUCAGAGGUUGCUAAUAAUUAACUUGUAUGCCAGAUCAGGGCUGAAGGCACUUGGCUUGUGGCUGGCCCCAGCACCACAUACGGUCCCUCAGGCUCUGCUAGGUUUGAUCUCUGAGCUCAGAGGCAGGAGUAAGCCCUGAGCACUGCUAGGUGUGACCCCCAAGCCAAAGCAAACCUGCAUUUUGGGCACUGCCCCCCGCCUGUGGAUACAAGUCCCUGCCUGGGAGAUUGGGGGCCAGCGGCAGGGCAGGACACAGAUGGCUACUGCUGGCCUUAAUGUUCUGCCUCCAGCAUUACACAGACUGUGGGGUGUCAGGGCAGCACGGGGUGCAGAGCCUGGGCUGGGGUUCUUCCCAGGAGGGGUGCAGCAAGGACUCGAGCUCUUGAAGCAAUCGAGUCUCGGUAGCUGAGAACACUCAGGGUCAGGCCAAGGCACCCAGGGUCUGCCAGGAAGGCCUUUCACUUUGCCCAGAAAUGCCUGUGAAAUACAGCAGAGUGCUUGAAGGCUCUGCACACCUUCCCGUCAGAAACUAAGGGAGAGAGUAGCCUCCUUGGAGAACAUCAUCCCACAUGGGCCAUUUAUAAUGCCGACCCUUUGACAGGGCUGUCCCCUGCCACCGCCAGUCUAGCCCCGGCUUUAUCGUCUCCAUGAAGUGAAAACUCUCCAGUCUCCUCUUAAUUGGGGCCAAACAGCAGCAUGUGCUGCAAUAGUAACACAUUCUCCAGAGAACGGCAGGCCCUGUUUACACCUGCCUCCUCCAUGAGCAUGGAUGGAAAAUGUCUAAAGCUGUUCCCCACCCGUGUAACAAGGACCAUGAGUCAGCUGGUAUUAUUCUCAUUCGUCUCUCGCAAAGUAUUAACUCUUGCAAUGCCACUGGGACAGAGUUGCAACCUGUUCCUUAAAGAAAGAGCCAACCAGAGGGUUUGGAGAGAUAGUCGUGGAGGUUUGGGCACUUGCCUUGCAUGCGGCUGACUCCAGUUCAGUCUCCGGCACCGCAUAGGGUUCUCCCGAGCUUUUCCAGAAGCUCUGAGCACAGAGCCAGGAAUAAGUUCUGAGCACUGCUGGGUGUGAUUCCCCUAACAGCCAACCCCCACCCAAUAAAAGAAAGAGCCAACCAGCUUAUUGAAAAAACUCACAGAUAGUUUUGGGAAGAGUGUGCCCUGGAAGUCCUCUCACCAGACCCCCAGAACCUCCACUGUAACAAGUCUCAUUUCUCUUCUCCUAAAUUCUCAUGGGAGGAGAUGAGUUUUGCCUUUUGGGGUACUUGGCUAUGGCACCUCAACUUCGAGAUUUCGUUUCCUUUUAAGAGCACGUUCACAGGAUUGAAUCUGGUCCCUUUUGUCACAGUUCUCAUGGGUGUGUGUGCGUGUGCAUGCGUGUGUGUGUACGUAUAAGUAGAAUGGUAACAUUUGAUUACUUUAUGGACCAUUGAAUUGUUGGGCAUAAAAGUGUUUCAAUUGGCACGAAACAGUUCCUAAACCCCCCCACUGACUUGGCCUCACCAUUUGGAAAGACCCGGCCUCCCGUGUAUCACUUCAGGCACAGGGGACCCUAUUCAAUGAGAGCAAAAAUGCUCUUUGGGGUGAAAUACCUGCAAAGAUUUGCCCUUUCUAUGGAUAGACAUGCCCAUGUUCUUGAUAUCUACUCUUUUGUUUUGACAAGUGCCAUUUUGUGCUGUCAUCUGAACCUGAGAGAAGCAGUGGAAGAACUGGUGUGUGUCAUGUGCUUUAGCAGAAAGGUUGUCAUGGCAGAGGGUCCUGGGACCCAGCAAGUUCCCGAAAAGCCUCAGAAUUUGCUUCCCGUGGGAAGAGGGGGGUGCAUUGGAGACACAGAAAGCACCCUGCUCUAGAGGAAUUCUGCUCUGGAUGCAGGAAAUGCCAUUUUUCUCUGAAUACCCGAGAAGACACAGUCCACUGAGGCUGGCAAGCGAUUCACUAAGCACAAAAGGAGUUUUUUCCAAUCAAGUAGUCCCUUACCUCACAGACAAACGCCCUCCAAGUUUGCUAUCGUUUCUAUACCUGCAGCUUAUCAAAACCACUUCUGGGAUGGUCCAAGUGCAGCCAGAAUGAACGUUUUUCCCCUUCUAUAUAAAAAAAAAAUGACAGUGCUCAUAUUUGACAUGGUGUCUUGGACUCUUUUGGAUGAAUAAAAAGGAAAGAGUUUGGUGUGCUUCCUGAUGGGGUAUGUGUUCUUUUCCAUACCACUGUUUGUGAAUUGUAAUUGUGGUUUCCCAUUUAACUGUCAGAACCAGGCAGAAUUUUUUUUUAAAAAAAAUGGAAAUUCAAAAAUUGAAUAAAAAUACAAAGAAGUGUUAAGCA